GACGGAGGAUGCAAGCGUUAUCCGGAAUCACUGGGCGUAAAGCGCUUGUAGGUGGUCAAAUAAGUCAACUGUUAAAUCUUGAGGCUCAACCUCAAAAUCGCAGUCGAAACUAUUAGACUAGAGUAUAGUAGGGGUAAAGGGAAUUUCCAGUGGAGCGGUGAAAUGCGUAGAGAUUGGAAAGAACACCGAUGGCGAAGGCACUUUACUGGGCUAUUACUAACGCUCAGAGACGAAAGCUAGGGUAGCAAAUGGG
rnacentral:rRNA from 1 species